ACAGCUCAAAUUUGAAACCCGGCGCAAGCCUGACUUGUCAUUUGUAGAGGAUGCUUCUGGGUAGCGGCCGGUCUAAGUUCCUUGGGACAGGACGUCACAGAGGGUGAGAACCCCGUACGUGACCGGCUCGCACCCUUUCCGUAGCUCCUUCGACGAGUCGAGUUGUUUGGGAAUGCAGCUCUAAAUGGGAGGAAAAUUCCUUCUAAAGCUAAAUAUCGGCCGGAGACCGAUAGCGCACAAGUAGAGUGAUCGAAAGAUGAAAAGCACUUUGGAAAGAGAGUUAAAAAGCACGUGAAAUUGUUGAAAGGGAAGCGCUUGCGACCAGACUUGUCGGCGGCGUUCCGCCGGUCUUCUGACCGGUCUAGUCGUCGCCGGCAGGCCAGCAUCACCUGGGACCGCCGGAUAAAGACGUGGGGAACGUAGCUCCUCUCGGGGAGUGUUACAGCCCCGCGUGCAAUACGGCGUGCCCCGGGUGAGGUCCGCGUCUCGGCGAGGAUGUUGGCGUAAUGGGUGCAAGCGGCCCGUCUUGAAACACGGACCAAGGAGUCGACCAUCUGUGCGAGUGUUCGGGCAUCAAACCCCUACGCGCAAUGAAAGUGAACGGAGGUGGGAGCUUCGGCGCACCAUCGACCGAUCCUGAAGUCUUCGGAUGGAUUUGAGUAAGAGCACAGCUGGUCGGACCCGAAAGAUGGUGAACUAUGCCUGAAUAGGGUGAAGCCAGAGGAAACUCUGGUGGAGGCUCGCAGCGGUUCUGACGUGCAAAUCGAUCGUCAAAUUUGGGUAUAGGGGCGAAAGACUAAUCGAACCAUUGACUACUAGGUGGUCGACGCGUU
rnacentral:rRNA from 1 species